UACGUAGGGCGCAAGCGUUAUCCGGAAUUAUUGGGCGUAAAGAGCUCGUAGGCGGUUUGUUGCGUCGGCCGUGAAAACCUGCAGCUUAACUGUGGGCCUGCGGCCGAUACGGGCAGACUUGAGUUCGGUAGGGGAGACUGGAAUUCCUGGUGUAGCGGUGAAAUGCGCAGAUAUCAGGAGGAACACCGGUGGCGAAGGCGGGUCUCUGGGCAUGUCCUGACGCUGAGGAGCGAAAGUGUGGGGAGCGAACAGG
rnacentral:rRNA from 1 species